AGAGGUAUAGUCUAGUGAUAUUCAUAGACAUCUUUUAUUUGAUAAGUGUGAGUUCGAUUCUCACUAUUUCUG
rnacentral:tRNA from 1 species